rnacentral:rRNA from 1 species
UACAGAGGUCUCAAGCGUUGUUCGGAUUCAUUGGGCGUAAAGGGCGCGUAGGCUGCGGGGCAAGUCGGGUGUGAAAUCUCAGAGCUCAACUCUGAAACUGCACUCGAUACUGCUUUGCUCGAGGACUGGAGAGGAGAUUGGAAUUCACGGUGUAGCAGUGAAAUGCGUAGAUAUCGUGAGGAAGACCAGUGGCGAAGGCGGAUCUCUGGACAGUUCCUGACGCUGAGGCACGAAGGCCAGGGGAGCAAACGGG